GAUGAAGGAACGUAGCGAAAUGCGAUAAGUAAUGUGAAUUGCAGAAUUCAGUGAAUCAUCGAAUCUUUGAACGCACAUUGUGCCCCUUGGUAUUCCGGGGGGCAUGCCUCUUCCAGCGUCAUUUCACCCCUCAAGCUCUGCUUGGUUUUGGGCCGCGCCGGCAACGGCGGGCCUCGAAAAUAGUGGCGACGCCAUCGUGCUCUCAGCGUAGUAAUUCUUCUCGCUGUUGGGUCCCGGUGGUCGUCCGCCGGCAACCCCCAACUUUCUUAAGUUUGACCUGGGAUGAGGUAGGGAUACCCGCUGAACUUAAGCAUAUCAAUAAGCGGAGGA
rnacentral:misc_RNA from 1 species